rnacentral:rRNA from 1 species
GACGAACGCUGGCGGCGUGCUUAACACAUGCAAGUCGAACGGAAAGGCCUCUUUCGGGGGGUGCUCGAGUGGCGAACGGGUGAGUAACACGUGAGUAACCUGCCCUUGACUUUGGGAUAACUUCAGGAAACUGGGGCUAAUACCGGAUAGGAGCUCCUGCUGCAUGGUGGGGGUUGGAAAGUUUCGGCGGUUGGGGAUGGACUCGCGGCCUAUCAGCUUGUUGGUGGGGUAGUGGCUUACCAAGGCGUGGACGGGUAGCCGGCCUGAGAGGGUGACCGGCACAUUGGGGCCGGGGAAAGGCCCAGGCUCCGACGGGGGGGCGGAGGGGGGGAUAAUGGCCCAUUGGUGGCAGGCCGAUUGAGGAGCGGCGGGGGCGGGAAUGACGGCUUUGGGUUUGUAACCGCCUUCGCGCAUGAAGGAGCUGUGUGUGACGGUAGUGGGUGAAGAAGCACCGGCUAACUACGUG